AUCUCUGUUUGUUUUUACAGAAUCCACAAGCUUACAAUAGACAACGUGAAGCCGGAAGACGAGGGCGACUACACCUUUGUCCCCGACGGCUACGCGCUCUCUCUCUCCGCAAAGCUCAACUUCCUGGAGAUCAAGAUCGACUACGUUCCUCGUCAAGAGCCCCCCAAGAUCCACCUGGACACCACGGGCAACGUCGUGUCCCAGAACACCAUCAUUGUUGUCGCUGGCAACAAGCUGCGGCUGGACGUGGAGAUCACGGGCGAGCCUGCGCCCGUCGUGACGUGGGCCAAGGCG